GUGGGGAAUAUUGGACAAUGGGCGAAAGCCUGAUCCAGCCAUGCCGCGUGUGUGAAGAAGGUCUUCGGAUUGUAAAGCACUUUAAGUUGGGAGGAAGGGCAUUAACCUAAUACGUUAGUGUUUUGACGUUACCGACAGAAUAAGCACCGGCUAACUUCGUGCCAGCAGCCGCGGUAAUACGAAGGGUGCAAGCGUUAAUCGGAAUUACUGGGCGUAAAGCGCGCGUAGGUGGUUCGUUAAGUUGGAUGUGAAAGCCCCGGGCUCAAACUGGGAACUGCAUCCAAAACUGGCGAGCUAGAGUACGGUAGAGGGUGGUGGAAUUUCCUGUGUAGCGGUGAAAUGCGUAGAUAUAGGAAGGAACACCAGUGGCGAAGGCGACCACCUGGACUGAUACUGACACUGAGGUGCGAAAGCGUGGGGAGCAAACAGGAUUAGAUACCCUUGUAGUCC
rnacentral:rRNA from 1 species